AGUAAUCGCUCUGUUGCUGGUACC
rnacentral:siRNA from 1 species